GAACGCCGUGUGCGGUGAAAGCCGCACGCACGGUGUGGAGCGGGGGAAAAGGCAGAGACCGCAUCAAAGCCUUACCUAUCGCUAU
rnacentral:ncRNA from 1 species